ACGCUGGCGGCGUGCUUAACACAUGCAAGUCGAACGGUGAAGGGGCCUGCUUUUGUGGGUCCUGGAUGAGUGGCGAACGGGUGAGUAACACGUGAGUAACCUGCCCCCUUCUUCUGGAUAACCGCAUGAAAGUGUGGCUAAUACGGGAUAUUCUGGGUCUGUCGCAUGGUGGGCCUGGGAAAGAUUGCGCUUUUUUUGGUGUUUUUGGUGGGGGAUGGGCUCGCGGCCUAUCAGCUUGUUGGUGGGGUGAUGGCCUACCAAGGCGGUGACGGGUAGCCGGCCUGAGAGGGUGGACGGUCACACUGGGACUGAGACACGGCCCAGACUCCUACGGGAGGCAGCAGUGGGGAAUAUUGCACAAUGGGCGCAAGCCUGAUGCAGCGACGCCGCGUGAGGGAUGGAGGCCUUCGGGUUGUGAACCUCUUUCGCCAGUGAAGCAGGCCUGCCUCGUUUGUGGGUGGGUUGACGGUAGCUGGAUAAGAAGCGCCGGCUAACUACGUGCCAGCAGCCGCGGUAAUACGUAGGGCGCGAGCGUUGUCCGGAAUUAUUGGGCGUAAAGAGCUCGUAGGCGGCUGGUCGCGUCUGUCGCGAAAUCCUCUGGCUUAACUGGGGGCUUGCGGUGGGUACGGGCCGGCUUGAGUGCGGUAGGGGAGACUGGAACUCCUGGUGUAGCGGUGGAAUGCGCAGAUAUCAGGAAGAACACCGGUGGCGAAGGCGGGUCUCUGGGCCGUUACUGACGCUGAGGAGCGAAAGCGUGGGGAGCGAACAGGAUUAGAUACCCUGGUAGUCCACGCCGUAAACGUCGGGCACUAGGUGUGGGGGGCCUUUUCCGGGUCUUCCGCGCCGUAGCUAACGCAUUAAGUGCCCCGCCUGGGGAGUACGGCCGCAAGGCUAAAACUCAAAGGAAUUG
rnacentral:rRNA from 1 species